AUUGAACGCUGGCGGCAGGCCUAACACAUGCAAGUCGAACGGUAACAGGAAGCAGCUUGCUGCUUCGCUGACGAGUGGCGGACGGGUGAGUAAUGUCUGGGAAGCUGCCUGAUGGAGGGGGAUAACUACUGGAAACGGUAGCUAAUACCGCAUAAUGUCGCAAGACCAAAGAGGGGGACCUUCGGGCCUCUUGCCAUCGGAUGUGCCCAGAUGGGAUUAGCUUGUUGGUGGGGUAACGGCUCACCAAGGCGACGAUCCCUAGCUGGUCUGAGAGGAUGACCAGCCACACUGGAACUGAGACACGGUCCAGACUCCUACGGGAGGCAGCAGUGGGGAAUAUUGCACAAUGGGCGCAAGCCUGAUGCAGCCAUGCCGCGUGUAUGAAGAAGGCCUUCGGGUUGUAAAGUACUUUCAGCGGGGAGGAAGGGAGUAAAGUUAAUACCUUUGCUCAUUGACGUUACCCGCAGAAGAAGCACCGGCUACCUCCGU
rnacentral:rRNA from 1 species